CACCGAGUCGAGUGUUUGGUGGUUCAGUCAAAGCUUUACCUUGCUGUUUUUUCAAUUGGGAAAAAUUUGCGAAAUUUCCUUUUUUUCUUGAAAAUUGCAUUAGCCCACGUGGCUAAUAUACCUCAGAAUAAACAUAUUUUGCUCCAGCGGAAUUCAUCAACGAAAAAUUGAUAAAAACGGGCAAAUUCCGGCGGAAAACGACUCUCUCUGAUGACGCAUCUCUAUCAUGCUCAUCAAGUGGGGCUGAAUCUGGGAAUGUAUCCAGAAUCCCAGAGCUGAAUGCUUACAUCCGUCUGGGUUUUUCUGUUGUCUUGCGGAGCAAAUCGAACCCGACGAAGUGGUGCCUUUGUUAAUUUCUCGCAUUCAUCGAAAUGAGAGCGAGGGGAUCAGAGAUGUUUCACAAGCUAAACUUCAGAAGAUCGAACAGAGAUAUCAUUCACCCAGUAGCACGAUCAUUCACCCGUUUCGAAAACUCCAUUUAAUCACUGCACUUGAGGUAUGUGAAGUCCAAAAAUGUUUCACCGGCGCUAAUGAAGCGUUCACGGUGACUGUAAUUAGUAUAGACAGGAUGCAGGUUUCACGCAGCAAAUCCCAGUUGAAAUAAGCUUCCACCAGAACUUCUUAUAAGGUGAAGAUUUACAUUUUAAUAAAGCGCGGUAUUGAAGAAUGAUGGAGACGGUAAAGGUAAGAAGUUUGUUGGAUUCCAUUCCUAAGUUUAAGUAUUAUUUGUAUGUAGCUAAAACGACCAAUUGGACAACACCUCUAUUCCUGGGUUGCAUGACUACGAUGAUUCGCACGCACCUGUAUGCCACAUUCGAGGCCGCAUUACAAAGAGAAGUCGGGCAAACUCCUGCUUGCCCUAUCCACCCGGUAUUACAAGCGGCCGGUAUAAUGCCGUACACGCCCAAUGUUCCGGUCGGGAGAGAUCAGACCCGGUGUCACCAAACUAAAAACGAUACACACUUCGUGCAGCAUCAGAAGCACGCCGCAGCACAUCUUUGUCCAUCUUUGAACUAGUCCAUACCAUUAUUUUAUUAUUAAUAAACAUAAAAAUGUAAAAUAAAACAAGU